GGUAUUUAGCACAGCAGGACUGUGCACUUUACAACUUCUGACUUGUGCUUUAGCUCAGUUUUUUAUUCCAACCAGCUACAGCUCUUUAUAAGUCCAUGUCUGCCUGUGCUGAACAGCACCACCAGUCCCAUCCUCCUGCUCUUGUGCUUGAGCACUUUUGUUUCUCUUGCAUUUACAAUUCCCAAGGGCACAAGUAACUCUGUCUUCAUGGUGGCAGAAGGCAUGAAUGCUUUAUCUCGACUUGUCUUCCCAGAAUUGCACUGUGUAAAACUCUUACCUUUCAAUGGCACACACUCCUUAGUUUACAGCUCCAGGAGCAGACUGUGCCCUGGUAUUUGUGCAGCACAGAGGCAGAAUCCCCACACUGGUCUGCAUUCCCUCUGGGUUUCUGGGUGUAGACAAUAGUUCACAGCCUUGUUCUUUCCAUGACCACAGGCAUUUCAAGACCCCUACAGGUAUCACCCACAGGCUGAAAUCUCACAGACCUUUUCUUAACAUUUCUUGAGUGACCAGCAAGGACAACUACUGAUUGUGGUUUCCUUCCUCUAAUUGGUGCAAAGUUUAAGAAAGGAUGCCAACAUCCAGGUGUAUUUAGCACUGACAAGCUAAAUCCUUGUUCUGUGAAGUCCGUCUGUUAAUCUGGCUUCGAUCCUCCUGUCACCUACUGCUGCUGAAUGUGGGAUGAACUGAUCCUUAUGUGCACUUGGAAGAUAAGACUUGGGUUUAAAUCUCAUUAUGCUGGUAAAACAGGGAUAGAUGCCCUAAGAAUGGAGCUACACAGGAUGAUACAUUUCUUGUAUUUGUGUGAUCUGAAGUGACCAUCGGAGUGAGGAAAAUAUCAACUGUCAGCUGGUUCAUAAAAGUUGGACAACGUCUGCCAUGCCUGACAAGAGUGGUACAGGAAA